CAGCCGCCACGGGAAUACGUAGGGUGCGAGCGUUAAUCGGAAUUACUGGGCGUAAAGCGUGCGCAGGCGGUUGUGUAAGACAGGUGUGAAAUCCCCGGGCUUAACCUGGGAACUGCGCUUGUGACUGCACAGCUAGAGUAUGGCAGAGGGGGGUGGAAUUCCACGUGUAGCAGUGAAAUGCGUAGAGAUGUGGAGGAACACCGAUGGCGAAGGCAGCCCCCUGGGCCAAUACUGACGCUCAUGCACGAAAGCGUGGGGAGCAAACGGGAUUAGAUACCCCGGUAGUCCCUGUCUCUUAUAC
rnacentral:rRNA from 1 species